AUUGAACGCUGGCGGCAGGCCUAAAACAUGCAAGUCGAACGAGUGGCGGACGGGUGAGUAAUGUCUGGGAAACUGCCUGAUGGAGGGGGAUAACUACUGGAAACGGUAGCUAAUACCGCAUACCAUCGGAUGUGCCCAGAUGGGAUUAGAGAGUAGGUGGGGGAAAUGCUCAACUAGGCGACGAUCCCUAGCUGGUCUGAGAGGAUGACCAGCCACACUGGAACUGAGACACUGUCCAGACUCCGACGCGAGGCAGGAGUGGGGAAUAUUGCACAAUGGGCGCAAGCCUGAUGCAGCCAUGCCGCGUGUAUGAAGAAGGCCUUCGGGUUGUAAAGUACUUUCAGCGGGGAGGCGUUACCCGCAGAAGAAGCACCGGCUAACUCCGUGCCAGCAGCCGCGGUAAUUC
rnacentral:rRNA from 1 species